AAGCAUAAGUUCAAAUUUUAACGAAAAUUGUAAAAUCACUGUUUUUCUUAACAAGCAUAACCGAAAUGGUAGAGAAUAAUGAAACUUAAGUUAUUUACGUUCCCAUUACAAUAAAUUUAAGUAGAUAAGGUACCUAUUGUGAAAAAUAGUAUGAAAUUGACGUAUCAAACAUAGUAUUAUAAUUGGAUAUCGAAUAAAUUGAAUUGCCGUAUAUCAUCUAAUUUUGAAACUAGAAAAGUCGUUUGACCACCAAAAUGUAUUCAGUAAAAAAUAGAGGAAAAAUAUAUAGUGGUUAAAAAGGGGGUUGCG